UCGGGAAUUUUGGGCAAUGGGCGAAAGCCUGACCCAGCAACGCCGCGUGAGGGAUGAAGUAUUUCGGUAUGUAAACCUCGAAAGAAUGGGAAGAAUAAAUGACGGUACCAUUUAUAAGCUCCGGCUAACUACGUGCCAGCAGCCGCGGUAAUACGUAGGGAGCAAGCGUUGUUCGGAUUUACUGGGCGUAAAGGGCGCGUAGGCGGCGCGGUAAGUCACUUGUGAAAUCUCUGAGCUUAACUCAGAACGGCCAAGUGAUACUGCUGUGCUAGAGUGCGGAAGAGGCAACCGGAAUUCUUGGUGUAGCGGUGAAAUGAGUAGAUAUCAAGAGGAACACCUGAGGCGAAGGCGGGUUGCUGGGCCGACACUGACGCUGAUGCGCGAAAGCCAGGGGAGCAAACG
rnacentral:rRNA from 1 species